GCCCGGAUGGUGGAAUCGGUAGACACAAGGGAUUUAAAAUCCCUCGGCGUUCGCGCUGUGCGGGUUCAAAUCCCGCUCCGGGUACCA
rnacentral:tRNA from 2 species